rnacentral:rRNA from 1 species
AACGUAGGAGGCGAGCGUUAUCCGGAUUUACUGGGCGUAAAGCGCGUGUAGGCGGAUUGGUAAGUUAGCUGUGAAAGCUCCUGGCUUAACUAGGAGAGGUCGGUUAAUACUGCCAGUCUAGAGUAUGUGAGAGGGAAGUGGAAUUCCGGGUGUAGUGGUGAAAUGCGUAGAUAUCCGGAGGAACACCAGAGGCGAAGGCGGCUUCCUGGCACAUAACUGACGCUCAGACG